AUUGAACGCUGGCGGCAGGCCUAACACAUGCAAGUCGAGCGGAUGAAGGGAGCUUGCUCCUGGAUUCAGCGGCGGACGGGUGAGUAAUGCCUAGGAAUCUGCCUGGUAGUGGGGGAUAACGUCCGGAAACGGGCGCUAAUACCGCAUACGUCCUGAGGGAGAAAGUGGGGGAUCUUCGGACCUCACGCUAUCAGAUGAGCCUAGGUCGGAUUAGCUAGUUGGUGGGGUAAAGGCCUACCAAGGCGACGAUCCGUAACUGGUCUGAGAGGAUGAUCAGUCACACUGGAACUGAGGCACGGUCCAGACUCCUACGGGAGGCAGCAGUGGGGAAUAUUGGACAAUGGGCGAAAGCCUGAUCCAGCCAUGCCGCGUGUGUGAAGAAGGCCUUCGGAUUGUAAAGCACUUUAAGUUGGGAGGAAGGGCAGUAAGUUAAUACCUUGCUGUUUUGACGUUACCAACAGAAUAAGCACCGGCUAACUUCGUG
rnacentral:rRNA from 1 species